AAGCCAGUUAGAGAGGGAAGAAAUGGAGGAGAGUGCCUCAUUGAAAGAGUGGAGAGAGAGAUCGAAAGGAUUCCACAAUUGAGGGAUCCUAGUGAAGGGAAACCCGUACCCAGGGAGAGUUAGAGAAGGCAGAACCCUUCUGAGCCAAAAUAAAAUAAAGUGCCACAACACAACGGUACUCUUGUCAGAUAGAGGUCUGAAGU
rnacentral:lncRNA from 1 species